UAAACGACUCUCGGCAACGGAUAUCUMGGCUCACGCAUCGAUGAAGAACGUAGCAAAAUGCGAUACUUGGUGUGAAUUGCAGAAUCCCGUGAACCAUCGAGUUUUUGAACGCAAGUUGCGCCCGAAGYCAUUCGGYCGAGGGCACGUCUGCCUGGGCGUCAC
rnacentral:rRNA from 1 species